rnacentral:rRNA from 1 species
AGUGAACGCUGGCGGUAGGCCUAACACAUGCAAGUCGAACGGCAGCACAGUAAGAGCUUGCUCUUACGGGUGGCGAGUGGCGGACGGGUGAGGAAUACAUCGGAAUCUACUUUUUCGUGGGGGAUAACGUAGGGAAACUUACGCUAAUAUCGCAUACGACCUACGGGUGAAAGCAGGGGAUCUUCGGACCUUGCGCGAUUGAAUGAGCCGAUGUCGGAUUAGCUAGUUGGCGGGGUAAAGGCCCACCAAGGCGACGAUCCGUAGCUGGUCUGAGAGGAUGGUCAGCCACACUGGAACUGAGACACGGUCCAGAGUCCUACGGGAGGCAGCAGUGGGGAAUAUUGGACAAUGGGCGCAAGCCUGAUCCAGCCAUACCGCGUGUGUGAAGAAGGCCUUCGGGUUGUAAAGCCCUUUUGUUGGGAAAGAAAAGCAGCAGGUUAAUACCCCGCUGUUCUGACGGUACCCAAAGAAUAAGCACCGGCUAACUUCGUG